AGUCCAAAAGAGAAAGAACAAGACUAGCCACGGUGUAUCGGUGCAUUUUCUAUAAAUUUGGGGUCGCCAUUCUCUUUGCCUUGUUUUCUCUGCAGAAACCUUCCAGGAAAACGGAGAGUUGAGAAAAGCAAGAGAAACAGUUAGGUGAAAUCAACCGAACCGAAACCUCUCCAAAGGCUGCUAAAGCAACUCAACUCUAUCACUGGGGAAGAUCAGCUCUCUGCAGGAUGGAUGUGAAACCCCCCCGGGGGCCAAGUUCUUACUAGAGGACAGAGGAGCCGGAAGCGUCCUGUCUGUGCAGGUAGGUGCCCGCAGAGGCCGCUUCUCUCAGGACUCAAGUUGUCGCUCUUACCAGGUACUCGGCGCCCAAGCACUGCAUGGUACCCGGCAUCUGGGAUUGGCGGCGGCGGUGGUCGCCUUGCACACGGGACAGAGGUGCGGCGACCGGGCCAAGUGGCCCAGGAGGGGCGGCAGGGCGAGCAGGGCUCAGCGCCUCCUAGAGGUCCAGGGCGCUGGUCCCCUAGACACGCCCUUUCCGUGGUGGCUUUAGGCUGGGAGGACCUGCUGGGAGCGGGGGUGGCACCUGCGCAGCACCGGUUCCCAGGAAGUGCUCCUGACCACUGUGCGACGCCUGGGCCCGUUGCCAGCGCCUGGAGUUAGAAGUGAGGCCUCAGGGAUCAUUCCUGAGGGCGGGGAGCUUGCAGGGGUGUGUCACACACAGGUAAGUGGUGCUUUGUGUGUGCCGAAUCCUGCCCUGAAAGGUUCACCAGUUCUCUUCCAGGCGCAUCAAGUUGCAAUCUGUUGUCAUCCUUGAGCUAAGAUCAGACAGCAAUGGCGACACUCUGUCAAGGGGCUCAGUGUCUAUCAUUCCAGCUGCUAUUUCUAUAAGGCUGAAUCUUCUCCAGCUGGGCACCCUUUGAAGCACAUCCAGUGUGAAUGUCCCUGGCAAGAACAGUUUUCUCUUCAACAUUCAGCUCUCAGAACAUUCCUGAAUGCAGGCUUCUCAGAACGAGUAGCUGGAUUUCCAGGGGGCCCUGAAUUCAUCCCCUAGAGUCCCCCCUUCAAGUAGACAUUUGCACAACUACAGAAAGAGCACAGUUUAGCCACAGCAUCUCAAACAAAUUAGUACCAGAACCGAUGGAUGGAGAGGCUUAAAUACACACAGCAUGUAUAUUUAUAUUUACUGUGAUGAUUACGGUAGUAUCGAUGAAGCCGGAAAAUAAAGAUGAAGCAGAACCAAAAAGCUCUGUUAGACAUGGAGAAUAAAAUGAUCAGAAUGACAGCUUAUUUGGCUCCACUUAGUAACAGUGUGGAUUAAGCCAUGGAAGAGAUGUGGCAGAAGCUGAGUAAGAAGGAACGGCAGUGUUUGCGUGACAAUCACAUCUCUUGUCACAUCUUGUCACAUCUCUUGGCCUCUGGAUAUAUGAAUGACCUGGUGAAGAAACCUCCUACUUUCAUCCACCACGUAUCUGCACCAGUCUCUUAUAUGUCUCUUACUCAAGUCUUUUAUGGUGCACACCGGUCUUCAGAAACCAUUUUCUCCUUUCAAAGUGUGAAGACAAUUCUUUGUGUUUCCCUGAAACCUGGUCCUGAUGGGUGCUAUCUGGAGAUGCUCAUUGGAGAAAAUACCAUGUGGUAGAUGUGUUUCCUUAUAUAUGACACAAGUCGUAACACUUAGAAGUGCCACUGAAUGCUUUUAGUGCCCUUUCUUAUGUAAGGUGUCAGAGUGGGAGAAAUAAUUCCAAGGCACCUGGAAAUUCCUUCCCUACAUCUUCUCCGCUGAUCAACCCUAUCUACAGUGUCUUAAAUAGACAAACCAAAAUAAAAAUUUGAGUAUAUACAGAAGGAAAACUUAAAACACCCUGAAAGAAAACUUGUGACUAAUAACUCCGUCAUUAGCUAUGAAUGCCCACUACUGGAUCCUAUUUGAAUCAAAGGCCUGGGAGCGAGGAAGAGCUGAAGCAGGGGGUUUGGAGAUUGGGAGAUGGCAUAGGACAGAGACCUGUAGGACAAAUGUCAGCCUCUUGGUGACCCGAGACUAGCACUUUCAUUGUCUAGUUGGGUAAAUGUCACGGUUGGCAGAGCUCAUUUGUCUACUCUGAAAUGUGAGAGUAGAUUUGCUCUUCACGACUACUGAAAAACAAGAAUGUCAUCUGCUUUUGCUUCUUGCCAAGUAUCUCAUACCCAUCCCAUUAGCAAUUAAUGUAUACAAAUGCUUCUAGAAAAAACAACUUGUGAUUGAUUUCCUAAAGUCUUGCUGCAUUCCGCUAUGUUUCGCUGAGCCUUUCAUGGCUGUGAUAGAUACCCACACAAACAUCGACUUAGAGAAGCAAAGAUUUAUUUUGACUCGAGGCUUCACUCUACCGUGGCUGGAGGGUUUAGGGAGCUAAGGAACUCUCUGUGAUGGCUGGAAAGCAAAGAGAAAGAACCAGGGGGCUCUCUCCUUCCUCCUGCUUGUCUCACCCGAGCCCCCUGCCUUUGGCUGGAGAAAGUCUACAUUCAAAGUGGGUGCUCCCUCAGAGUUAAUCCUUUCUGCAGGCAGAUAAACCCAGAGGAGGGCUUUCCUCCUCCCUGGCGUCCUUCCACUCUAUGUGGCGGCAAGGUGAACUGUGACAGCUUACCUAGGCCUUCUUCUCCUCUUCCACCCAACAGUUACCUUGUCUGUUUGGAGAAAAUGUGUACAGUUGCAAAGCCAGGCAAGCCACUAACCCCACUCACCACUUGGCUCUGAUUUAGAAAUUAAUACAUGGAGAUCUUCUCAGGAGAGUUUAUCUUGAAGUUUGUAAUCCAACAACUCCUCCUACCCACCCCCACCCCCACCCCCGUUCUUGUGAAGCC
rnacentral:lncRNA from 1 species